rnacentral:rRNA from 1 species
CAUAGCGACUAUCGUGGCAUAUCAAUAAGCGGAGGAAAAGAAACUAACAAGGAUUCCCUUAGUAACGGCGAGUGAAGCGGGAAGAGCUCAAAUUUGAAAUCUUCAAGGUUUUACCUUGACGAAUUGUAGUUUAAAGAAGUGUUUUCUGUUGAAGUUUUGGUAAAAGUUCUUUGGAAUAGGACAUCAUAGAGGGUGAGAAUCCCGUAUUUGACCGUUACUUUCCAGCUGUGUGAUACACUUUCAAAGAGUCGGAUUGUUUGGGAAUGCAGUCCAAAAUGGGUGGUAAAUUUCAUCUAAAGCUAAAUAUUGGCGAGAGACCGAUAGCGAACAAGUACCGUGAGGGAAAGAUGAAAAGAACUUUGAGAAGAGAGUUAAACAGUACGUGAAAUUGUCAAAAGGGAAGCGUUUGACACCAGUGUUGUUUUCUCGAAAAUCAAUUAAAAAAGGCCGGAUUUUGUGUUGUAUUGACCUUAAAAGCUUUCUUCACUCUUUUCUUGUCUUUUUUACGCACUUUUCGUUUAACAAGUCAACAUCAGUUUCUUUUGUUGUAAAAGGGUCAUUGGAAGGUGGCUUUCUUUUCGGAGAAAGUGUUUAUAGCCUUUGAUCUCUACAAUCGGAGAGACUGAGGUCUGCAGCGUAGACUCUUCUGGAUUAGAUACAUUUGUGCUAAGCUAUAGCUUUUAUAGACAACUUGUUGACUAUAGUUUAGUCUUGUAGCUUACUCGCUUAUGCUAAUUUUACCUACGCUUAGGAUGUUGAUAGUCACAGCGUGUA